rnacentral:rRNA from 1 species
GUCUCAAAGAUUAAGCCAUGCAAGUGUAAGUACGAGCUCGAGUACAGUGAAACUGCGAAUGGCUCAUUAAAUCAGUUAUGGUUCAUUUGAUCGUACGCUUUAAUACAUGGAUAACUGUGGCAAUUCUAGAGCUAAUACAUGCGUGAAGCGCCGACUUGACAGGAGGCGCGCAUUUAUCAGACCAAAACUAACCGUGUUUCGGCACGUUCAGAUGGUGACUCUGGAUAAGCUCGCGGAUCGCACGGUCUUGCACCGGCGACAUCUCUUUAAAGCAACUGCCCUAUCAACUAUCGUCGGUACGGUAUCGGCCUACCGAGGUUGUAACGGGUGACGGAGAAUCAGGGUUCGAUUCCGGAGAGGGAGCCUGAGAAACGGCUACCACAUCCAAGGAAGGCAGCAGGCGCGCAAAUUACCCAUUCCCGGCUCGGGGAGGUAGUGACGAAAAAUAACAAUACAGGCCUCGUACGAGGCCCUGUAAUUGGAAUGAGUACACUUUAAACGCUUUAACGAGUAUCCAUUGGAGGGCAAGUCUGGUG